rnacentral:tRNA from 1 species
CUGGGUGUAGCUCAGCAGUAAAGCAUGUGCUCUGUAUACAUAAGGCCCUGGGUUCAAUUCCCAGCAUUCAAA